AAAAAAUUAGAUCUAUUUCACAUUUUCACGGUACUCCUUGACUCCAUUGAAGCGUACUCGAAGUUCUCCAUUGAAGGGGCUUCUGAGCUUUCUCUCCUCCACUGAAGCAGUCUCAAAGGGUUUGGUUUGUGGAGCGUACUCGAAAUAUUCUCCAUUGAAGCGGCUUCUGACUUUCUGAGCUUUCUUUCCUCCAUUGAAGUAGUCUCUAAGAAACUUUAUAAGAGCUUCGUGCAAACAUUUAGCGGUUGUUUCGGGUUGGGGAAUUCAAGUUUGGAGCGGUUUCGUUGGUGGGGCUGGGGCUGGGGGUCUAUUGCGCUCAUGUGGGUCUGGAAGGAGGGUGGUUUCGGUGGUGGUGCAGGGGGAGGGGGUGGCUGUCGGGACUAGGCUGGGGAGUGGCUGUCGAUGGACGAUGAUGGGACAACAUAUUAAUCAAAUCCUGGAUCCGCCACUAGUACGUAACACCUUUGACAUCGUACCAAACUACCCUUUACUAGGGUAUUCCGACGUUGGCCAGGAGUUGGUGAUUGAUACGACUAAGUCUCCGUACUUGAAGACCCCCGGUACGUUCACAAAUUGGCAUAAUAUGGAGGCAUAUUUGCACGGAGUUGCAGGAACACAAGGUAGUAAGGCGGCAUUUAAGUUGGUAGUUGAUCGCGAUAUUGCACUUGUAAACAAGUCGAUGGAUAAUUUGGAGGAUGAGUAUCUUAUACCGGUUGCUUGGUGGAUUUUGAAGAAUAAAGGAAUGGUUCAACAGCCUAAUGGUUCUUGGUUAUUGAUGGAUCAUGAAAUGGAUGAUGAAGAUGAUUAUAUUGACUUUGACCUUUUCAUAUAAUAAUAUUUUUUAUUUCCAAAAAAUAUCUUUAAUUUCCAUAGAAUCCAAAAAUUUGUGUAAUGUGUAGUUAUGGGUUAGAACUCAGAAGGAGUACAUUUGGACCUUUCUAGACCUGACCUCGUCGAAGACAUUGAGUCUAUGUUUUUUUUUUCUUCUUUUUUUUAGUGUUUUUGGUUUCGAUUUCUGUUGUUUGGAUUAUCCUACCUUUGGCAUUACAAUUUAUCAUGGAUUCUUUAACUUUAA